AAGGGAUAAUAUAAUACAAAAGGUUAUGUGUCGAUGAAGUUAGCGGACAGUGGGCAGAUGCAGAUGAAUUCUUUAAUGAGGAACAGGCUAUGUGAAAGAGACCAGGCUAUUCGCAAACUGGAAAGGGAAAUAGAAGAUAAAGAUAGGGAAUUGCAAUCAAUUAAAUUAGACAACGACGCAGCUUGGGCCAAGGAUGAUCUUCUGCGGGAACAAGAUAAGA